AAUCAACGCUGGCGGCGUGCCUCAGACAUGCAAGUCGAACGAUUAAAGCUCUCUUCGAAGAGUGUAUAGAGUGGCGCACGGGUGAGUAACACGUAAGUAAUCUACCCUCGAGUGGGGAAUAACAACCGGAAACGGUUGCUAAUACCGCAUAAUGCAGCGGCACCGCAAGGUGACAGUUGUUAAAGAUUUAUCGCUUGAGGAGGAGCUUGCGGCAGAUUAGCUAGUUGGUAGGGUAACGGCUUACCAAGGCUACGAUCUGUAACCGGUCUAAGAGGACGGUCGGUCACACUGACACUGAAUAACGGGUCAGACUCCUACGGGAGGCAGCAGUCGGGAAUUUUGGGCAAUGGGCGAAAGCCUGACCCAGCAACGCCGCGUGAAGGAUGAAGUAUUUCGGUAUGUAAACUUCGAAAGAAUAGGAAGAAUUAAUGACGGUACUAUUUAUAAGGUCCGGCUAACUACGUGCCAGCAGCCGCGGUAAGGAUGAGACGU
rnacentral:rRNA from 1 species